rnacentral:rRNA from 1 species
CGAACGGGUGAGUAAUGCGUGACCAACCUGCCCCAUGCUCCGGAAUAGCUCUUGGAAACGGGUGGUAAUGCUGGAUGCUCCAACUUGACGCAUGUCUUGUUGGGAAAGUGUUUAGUGGCAUGGGAUGGGGUCGCGUCCUAUCAGCUUGUAGGCGGGGUAAUGGCCCACCUAGGCUUCGACGGGUAGCCGGCCUGAGAGGGCGGACGGCCACAUUGGGACUGAGAUACGGCCCAGACUCCUACGGGAGGCAGCAGCC